UCCAAUCUCUUUCUCUCUCACAAGGGUAAGAAUGUCAAAACAUCACUCUCUCUCUUAUCCACCUAAAGAAUAAAUUUUUAUGCAUAGUUACUUAAUUAUUCAUUCCUCUGAACAUAUCUAUUAUAAUUUCCCUAUGUUUUAACUAUUUUUCCGAAUUUUACUUAUAAAAUUAGAAGUAAAUGAAAAAAUUUCUACAAAUCUAUAGGGGUCAAUUGAACCCCAUAAAAACCAUCUACCUCUGCCCUUGUGUUGGAGAGCAUAUCAUUUCUAUUGCAGAUCAAACCCGUAAUCUACUAGAUCUCUAUGUUUUGGGUAAUUCAGGG